GGGCGAUUGGUCUAGUGGUAUGAUUCCUGCUUAGGGUGCAGGAGGUCCCGGGUUCAAUUCCCGGAUCGCCCC
rnacentral:tRNA from 1 species